UAUUUUUCUUUUCCUUCUCCUCUUUGUACGCCCCUCUCUCUAUAAUUCUACUUUUUAUUUUUAUUUUUCAACUAUAAUAAUAAUAAUAAAACCCUGUCUCGUUUUAAGUAUUGUAACUCCCGAUCACCGCUACCCUUUCCGAUUGAUCUGAACCCCAUAACGCAUGUCAAGGCUCUGCCCGACUAAGUUCGUUUGGGUUCUGUCUCGGGACAUCGGGACAAGUUUGAUUUAGGGGUACUAUACUUACCACGAGUGCAUUAUAUAUUUUUUUAAUAACUCAGAAGUUAUACCCAAAAUUUAUACCAGGAGAUUUUCUAGUUAAACCCUAAAGUUACAAAAUGGGUCCAUUCUCUUUUCUCACCAUUUUAUUUCCUUUUUGUGAUUUACCUAAAACUAUUAUUUAUUAUUCUAUUUUGUAAACAACUCUCAUCAAAAGUCAUAUCUAUUAUUUUUACCCAAUAGAAAACCCUAGUUGAAACACCCAAGUAAUUCUGCACAAACCCUAAAAUUUUCAGAAUCAUCAGAAUCAGGAUCAGGGCCCCUAAAACUCAAAGGGGGUAAACCCUAAUUGAUAUUUAUCUUCCGAAUACGUUGUCAAAAUUGAAAUUUCGUUUGACGUCGACUCAGCAGGGCUACCCAGGUGACAAGCCUACUCUAGGCUAGGGGGACUUGCCCCGCGACACGCGACAGGGCCCAUGAAAUCCUCCGCGACUCGCGGGAGAUUCCAAUUCUGGCUAUAAAAGCCUUGGCCUGGGACUUGCUCAGUUUGAUUGUUUCGACGUUCAAAUUCGUUUCUUACGUCGAGUUAUCAUCCGUUUACUACAUAACACACACUAGCACGAAAUCUGCUACGAUACAAGGUAUUAACUCGAUCGCUGCUACGAUUCAAUAUCCGAUCGACUAAAACUAUCCGACAGGAUGUUUAAGUGUUAUCCUUUGUCAUUAGUCGUGAUUCCGACAGGAUGUUUGAGUGCCGCCCAAACUCGGGGUAUACUCUGUCAUUCGUUGUGAAUCCGAUGGAUGUUUAAGUGAUUGCACUUUGUCAUUCGUCGUGAGGGUUUUAAUCUCGUGAGUUUAUCGUAAAUGCUGUAUUAGUUAUUUACCUAGUUUCGGGUGCAUUAUCGCUUAAAUUAGGUUAUCCGGCUUAUCAGUAGACUAAACACUACCCAUACACUUACAAUCAAAGUAGAUGCUAAUUCUCAGAAGAAUCUGAAUCAUGAAGCUUGUUAAAUCAAUACUGCAUGCUUAUAAAGUAAUUACAGUAGAUUGGAGUAAGGAUUGGAUCCGGCACUGAAGGACUUCAAGAAGUGGCUUAUUUUAUUAAUUAAAUCAAAUUAAGAAAUAUUGUUCUUAUUAAAAGCUACCUUUGUAAAAAUGGAAUUUAUUCCAUCUGUUUAAAUAAAAAUCCGGUGUUUCUAAACUCUGAUAUUUUUCCUAACUCACGGUUCUGAUGAAAUUUCCGCUGCAAUAUUUUUCAAAAUAAUCACCGGUACCACUGGGCUGCUCACGGCUCCCGAUUCCGGCUAGGUGGGGUCGGGGGUCGUGACAAAAUAUAUCUAUCUUUUGCUUCCGCUGUGCAUAUUUAAUAUUGUGUUGUUUGACUGUAAUGUUACCAACUACAUCACAAUAAUCCCGCACCGGGCCCACCGGUGAAACGUGGAAAUAUCGGGGUGUGACACUUUUCUCAUUUCGAAUUUUUGCGAGUCUUAUUGUUUUAUAAAGGAGAUCAUUUAACCCCUUUGGUUCCACCUUUUUUUGUUCUCCACGUCCCCUUUUUCCCGCUUUUUUUUUGCAGGUGGUUGUUUUUCAGCUGGAUUUGUGUUCUGUUUCCCCUUACCUGGGUUCCUUCCUUUGUGUACUACCAGGUUAGGUGCUAGGCUCAAAAGUGAUUCAACCGAUUGCAAUUCUUCAGCCGUCACCGAAGGGCAUACCACGUCUCUUUCUUUUUCACUUUCGAUACCCGAAUCCUUUUCUUGUGGUUCCUGUUGUGUAGUCUUUGCUAAAUUAACUGCGUCCACUUCGAUUUCAGAUUUAUGCUUAUUGUUGGGCCUAGAAUCUUCAAGCGUGUUUCAAAUUGUUUUAGUAAAAAAUGUUAAAAGUUUACCCUUUUUUAUUGUAAUAAAUUUUUGUACCUGUGGAAGUAUGUUUUUCUGGAAGGUGUUAUGUAGAUUCGGCUAAAUUCACUGCUUCCGUCGCACUUUCACCACUCUCUGCAUGCGAGUUUAAGUUAAAAAAAUAUAAGCUUUUGUUCUUUUUUAUUUUUUAAUAUAAGUGUUUACCAUGCACUAGUGAGUUGUAAACGUAUACACCCGGUUCCACAGUUUGCAGUUUUGCAAUACAGGUGUCUGUUACUCCCCCAUCAUAUGUCUCUGUUACUCCUCCAUCAUCUGGCUGCAGUAGUCCUACACACAAAUUUUUGAAUUUUAAUAAGCCAGAAUCAAAAUCGCAUGUUAUAUAUGACAUCGCAUUUGUAUAUGAAAUCAAAUGUAUACAUGAAAUCGCAUGUCUAUAUGAAAUCGCAUGUGUAUAU
rnacentral:lncRNA from 1 species